CUUUAGCAGAAAUUUUAAUAAUAUGAUAAGAAGAGAAAUAGACUAAAUAGGAAGUGAACUCUGCCACUGACUCUGGGAAAAGUCUGAGCAAACUCUUCAGGGGCAAAUACAGCUUACUCAGACAAAAAAGGCAGUCAGUGGCAAGUCUAGGCAGAAGCCAGGAGGUGUUAGGAACAGACUAGAAGACACGGUUGUUCUGGAGGAAAAAGGGUAAAACUUAAGAGAACUGUAAAAAUUAAGGGACUGCUACUAUGUGCUGUUAAGGAAAUAACAGGCACCUGGGAAAACCCACCAAGUAAGGUUUUGUAAGAAGUUGCUCUGCUCCCCGCGAGAAAAUGCCGAGCUCAACAGGCCAAGAGGAACAAGUCUGGGAAAUUACGACAUGAGAUGUGACCAGAUGUUGAUGACCUCAUGUAAGCUGUGGAAGAAUUCCAUUGUGUCUGGGGAGAUAAUAACCUCUACCAUCAAAACAUGUCUGGCAAGGUCAUCUCUCCUGCCCUGGAGACAUUGCCUACCCUGCUGAUUUCAUAAGGAAUUUGGUAUUACAGUGCCUGGCCCUGUCGUCAGGCUCCCUGGUCACCUCUUCUCUCUGACUUUGGACCUGUCUUAGCAUUCCUUAAAUCCACCCAGGUAUGGUUGGCUCUUCUUUGGUCCCAGCUGACUCAGUCCCACGAUCCUCCCCCAACGUUCCCGCUGGCCUCAGAGCCAGCAUCUUUGCUCUUGCUUUUUUUGCUUCCAACCAGGCAUUCUUCUUGCAUCAAUCUCUGUUUCCAAGAAUUUCUCAUAUAGUGUUGAUGCUCAUGUUCUAUGCUCAUGUUCAAAUACACCCAUAUCUUCCAAACUUGUUAACUUCAUUUGAUUCUUUCCAAUUUUGUAAAGACUCAUUUUGUCUGAGAAUAGCUUUUAUAGCCUCCCUUGUCCCUUAGGUAUGACUCAUCAAUGGAAUCUCCCUGCUUUUCCUUAAGUGUUAGAGUCUAAUGUAACCCCACUGGGAAUUUUCAUAACUUCUUGUCAACUGUGAGGUUUACAAAAUUGUUGAGCUCACUUCCUCAUUUCAGUGAUUGUAGAACUAAGCCCAACAAAGAACCAAAAUUUAGGGUGACAGUCAUUAGGAUGAUUUCUAAACAAAAGUGUGAAUGAUGUUGCUUGCCUGUUGGAGAAUUUAUUCACCACUUCCCUCACCCCAGUAUUGCCCCAUUAGAAACCAACAGACCUUCCAAACAGCCUUCUCCCUUCCAUUCUCCUUUCUCUGCCACAACCCCGUCACCAACAUUUCCGAUCCCCGUGCACUUUUAUUAGUCCAUGAGGCCUCUUCCUGAAGGUCACACUAAGUGUUAACAGUGGUUUAGUGAGUUUCUCCAAACCCACUAGUCUUUAGAGUCUUUAGAAAAGCAAGCAAAUACACUUUUAAAUGGGAAGUGAAUUGAGGCAGGAGUAUUUGCCCUUUAAGUAGGGGAAUUUUGUAACUGGGGACAUGUAGGUAGAGAGUGUGAGAGGUUUAGUGCUUUGCUGUACCCAUCUAACACCUGGACCCAGGCUCAUAUUUCCUUCACUGAUUGUGCCAGACGUUUUAUAUGUUCUUCCAACAGUACCAGUACUGAGCAACAGUACUCAAGUUUAUCUAGAAACGCGAGUUACCACCACAUCCAAGUAAAAGAACCGUCCUCUCUGUCCAGCCUUGUCUGUAUUCCUUGGAAUAUUCCCCACAUUGCAUAACCAUCUUGGAGGAAAACAUGUUCUCUUCCAUUUAUAUAAACUUGUUCUCUUCUGGAGAAAUAGCUCUGUAUUAAAGACACUUGAGGGAAAAUGACAUUACUGAGGAGAUGAUAUUUAGCUGUCCCCCAAAGCCAAUGGGCAGUGAUCCAAAAAAAUUUACGGAAAUAGAAGUAACUCUUUGUAAGCUAACCAAACAGUGGCCUGAACUCUUUUACAUUGUGACUUCUUAUGAGUGCUUAGUUUAGUUGCCUGAAGGUCAAUCUGGAAAUUAACAGGCUAUUUUGGAUUAUAACAAGAUUAUUUAAAGACUCAAACUUUCCAGAGUUCCUUUUAGAUGACUUCUAUCAUGACAAGCAAACCAAAAGGUCAGUGGUCCCAAAGUGGGGUACACAUGAUCUAUUAAGGUACAGAAAAAGGAAAUAACAAAAUAUAUAAAUAUAUUAUUAUUAAUAAAUAUCAUAUUUUUAAAAGAUGUACUUUUGUGAAUGACAUAUUAUUCACAAUGUAUUAAUAACAAUUAUGUAAUUCAUAAAUAAAAUGUGGAUAUACGGUAGUAGUACAUGCUCAAUUUUUUUUAACUAGUAAGAAGGUAGGAUCAAAUGAGUGAGAAUCUGCUGAUUAGGUAACACUUUGGCUAUCAUAUCCUCUUCCCUCUAAUCUAUGCAUUAUCAUAAAGACAGGUUCUAAUGUCUCCUCCCAGAACUAAGAGGACUUUUAAACAUUCUUCCUUCUACAUCGUCAGAACGAUGUAGUUUUAUUUUCACUACCUUUAAAAACAUUAAGGAAAGUAGAGAACAAUAUUCAGAUUAGUUAUAAAAUUAACUUUUCUAUCUCCUUCUAUAAGUUUCUAGGAUUUUGUAUAUUUGGUGUAUAAUAUAUUAAAUGUCAUAUUUUUAUAUGCUUUUGAUCACAAAAGAUUCUUGCUUAAAACAAACAUUUUCUAAAGACAUCAAAGGCCAUAUAGAAAAAUAUAAUAUAAAAAGUAUUUGCAAGCUGGGCAUGGUAGCUCCCCACCCACCUACAGGUGGCUCCCAUGCCUAUAAUACCAGCACCUUGGGAGGCAGAGGUGGGAGGAUCGCUUAAGCCCAGGAGUUUGAGACCA